AGAGUAGGACAAAUGGCCGCCGCCUUGGCUUCAAGGGGGAGGAAAGUCCGGGCUCCGCAGGACAAGGUGCUGGGUAACACCCAGUCCCGGCGACGGGAAGGAAAGUGCAACAGAAAGGAAACCGCCAGGCACUCAGUCACAUAUCAACACUCAACGGAUACAUUAAUUCAUGACAACAUCAGGUAUCCGGAUUUUAUGCAUGAGUGGUGGCAUGUAACUGAGUGCCUGGUAAGGGUGAAAGGGUGAGGUAAGAGCUCACCAGACCCGCCGGUGACGGCGGGGGCUUGGCAAACCCCACCUGGAGCAAAACCAAAUAGGGGAACGACUGAGGGUGGUCCGCCCGAGUUCCCGGGUAGGUCGCUUGAUCUCGACGGUAACGUCGAGGCUAGAUGAAUGGUCAUUGUCCCGAAGGCGGGUGACCCCUUCGGGAAACAAGACCCGGCUUAUGGCCUUCUCUGACA
rnacentral:RNase_P_RNA from 1 species